rnacentral:rRNA from 1 species
UACGUAGGGGGCAAGCGUUGUCCGGAAUCAUUGGGCGUAAAGCGCGUGUAGGCGGUUCAGUAAGUCUGCUGUGAAAGUCCAGGGCUCAACCCUGGGAUGCCGGUGGAUACUGCUGGGCUAGAGUACGGAAGAGGCGAGUGGAAUUCCUGGUGUAGCGGUGAAAUGCGCAGAUAUCAGGAGGAACACCGGUGGCGAAGGCGGCUUUCUAGGAUAUACCUGACACUGAGAAGCGACAGCUAGGGAGCAAACAGG